rnacentral:rRNA from 1 species
GACGAACGCUGGCGGCGUGCCUAACACAUGCAAGUAGAACGCUGAAGAGAGGAGCUUGCUCUUCUUGGAUGAGUAGCGAACGGGUGAGUAACGCGUAGGCAACCUGCCUUGUAGCGGGGGAUAACUAUAGGAAAUGAUAGCUAAUACCGCAUAACAAAGGAUGACACAUGUCAUUUAUUUGAAAGGGGCAAUUGCUUCACUAAAAGAUGGACCAACGCUGUAUUAGCUAGUAGGUGAGGUACGGGCUCAUCUAGGCGACGAUACAUAGCCGACCUCAGAGGGUAAGCGGCCACGCUGGGACUGAGGCACGGCCCGGACUACUAGGAGAGGGAGAAGGCGCGAAUCUUCAGCGAAGGGAGCAGUGCUGACCAUGCGACGCCGCGUGAAUGAAUGAGGUUGUCGUGUCGUAUAGCUCAGUUAGAAGUCAGGAACGAAUGUGAGAGUGGAAAGUGCAGACUGUGACGGUAGCUUACCAAAAAGAGACGGCUAACUACGUG